GCCCAGCUAGCUCAGUUGAUAGCGCAUGGGACUCUUGAUCCCAGGAUCGUGGGUUUGAGCCCCACAGUGGGCA
rnacentral:tRNA from 1 species